UCGCGGGUUAUCCAAGGGGAUCGCUUGGGCCCGCCCCGCCCUUAUUCUCAAUCACCAGCCUGGCUGGAAACGUCCCUUUCGCCUUUCAGCACCGCCUGAGCGGCUCCGUCGGGUGCGGGGCCCUAGGACACCGCCCCGCCUGCCGAGCUGGCGGCGGAGAGUCAGGGCGCGAGGGCCGCGCCGGGGCAGCGAGGCGCGUUAUCGCAGAGCAGGGCUGUGUGAGCCCGGGACGGCCCUCGCCGGCGUCCGCCUGUAACCAACCCUCAGCUACUGCCGAGUGGACGGGUCCCCGGGCCUGGGCACUCAGCCUCGGGGCCCAGCCCGGCCUGGGCUGGCUGCACGUGAGGACUCCGGGGGGGCUGUUCUGGGUCACUGUGAGCCCCCCCCCCCGAAGUCUCGCUGACUUGAGUAGGUUGUUCAUUGAAGUGCUUUCGUGAAGCUGGGCCACGCUUUGUCGGGAUGCGACCAGAACUACCUGGUCUGAAAACCACUUCUACUGGUGCCUCUGGGGCGCGAUUUUUCAGCGUGCUGUGCACCCACAGCUCUACUUGAAGUCAGGGCAGCUGCUCAGCACUCCUGAGAAUCAGGGCCUGGGGUGUUAAUGCUGAAAGAAUUUUCCUCUCUGCUGUUUUUAAGGAUGCAGGACAGAACAGAGUCAUGUGUCUGAUUUCUUCCUUAUUCUGUCACUGACUUUCUGUGUGGACUUUUUUCUUUUUUUAAGGCAAGAAAUGGCACAGAAGUUUUAUUACAAUAGUUGUUUUUGCUCCUCAGAUAAAUAGGAGUUGUGGAUAAAUACUCGGUACUGGAUGCAGCAUCCCACUGAAUCCUCAGUGCCCUCUUGGUGGUCACCCUUAAAUACACCCCUCCCACUGCCCCAACCCUCCCAGUAUUACAGCCCCUUGUUUCUUUCAUUGCUAUAUAAACAGGGUAUUUAGGUACGGCCUACAUAAACAGAUCUAGGGGAUUGGUCCCUGGGUCAAAUCAUGUGGCAGGUAGUUCCACAGGUUAACCACUCCCCAUUCUCAUCUGCUAAAUUCUCCAUGCCCCUGGGUCAAAACGUGUGGUUCAAAUGACUACCAGUUCUCAGCUCCUUGCUGGGCUCCUGGGUCAAAUCGUGUGGUGGGGUAGUUCUACAGAUUAACCCCAGCUCAUCCUCCUCCUGUUAAGUUCUCCAGGCCUCUGAGUCAAAUCAUGUGGUUGGUAGUUCCACAGCUUCUCUUCCCACCCCACCCCCAGCUAAACUAUCUGGUCCUCUGUUUGUCUCUCUGUGCCUCAGUUUCCCUGUAUAAAAAUGGGGCUGUGUAUCCAUCUCUAUCAAUUGUUUUGAGCUCUCCAGCUGAAAAGUCAAGUCCCCUUCUUUAAUGCAAAGAGGCUGAUCCCUAGACCUACAACAUAAAAAGAAAGUUUAGGAGAAUUGGGUUUUCCAGGUUAGAUUCCUAAGCCUAGUACCACAAGAUGUCAGCAGAGAAUCAGUCCAGGCUGGUGCUCUUGGAAAAGAGGUUUCUGGUAAACAGCUAGUGGGUCUGAAAACUCAGCUUCUCACGUUUCUACACAGCAUUUGUCUCAUGCCUGGAGGAUCUCACCUGGUUGAUGGCUGCCUUUUCCCUUGUUGGUUUUGCUCUGAGUGAUUUAGGUGGAUGCGGUCAUAGCUAGGAGCUGACAAAGAGUGAGGUGCUGCUGAGAGCGCAUCUGCAAGCCCACGUCACUCCAGGGCAGUUUGAAUGCCCCUCCUGUGGCUACGCCUUCCGCCACAAGCAUCACUUGCAGCGCCACCAAGCCAGAAUGCAUGGCAUUCCCUCCAGCAGGGCGAAGAAACGAGAUGUUCCACCAGUGGCACAGCUCAGGUGAGAUGCUGCCUGCCUUGAAAGGACUGAGCCUUGAGUCUGAUCAACUGUCACUAAUUCCUAAGCUGCAGAAGCAGCUUCCCUAGAAAACUAAGCAUGCUCCUUCUCCCUCCCUGGGGAAGGCUGCGCCGUCCUCGCUCACACAAUAAUGCAGACCUAGCUGCAUUGCAUAGACAGUGAACAGCCAAUGGCUCUGAUCCCAUCUUCACCCAGAACAAAAGCUGCAGCUCAGACCUAGAGCCUUCUCCACUUGGGUUUAAUGCUCUGCGCAUGCUGCUUUGUUCUCUAUGCUACUUCCCAGCCAUUCUCUGGGCUCCGUGCACCUGCGGAGCCUUGGCAUUAGCCUCUCAAUAAACAGCAUCGUAGUAGCGGCUGGAAUUCUGCUUGCUGCCGUGGUGAGAUUCCAUCUGCAGUGGGACGCCUGGUGCCCACCAGGGCCCAGUCACGUCCAAGGGAGUGUUGAAGCUACUGCUGAUGUCAGAAGCAGACCCUUUGCGUGCCAUUGACCUUGUAAUAGCGGGGCUCAUGACUCCUUCAGGUUUAAGUGUGUGUGUAAAAGUGGGGAGAACUCCUGCUUGUGGGGCCCUGG